AAAAUAGAAUGGAAACUGAAUUCUCAAAAUCCCUUCUUAACUAUCAACCAACCAUUCAUCCUAACGGAUAAAACUAUGGCCAUGGCCACCACCACCACCUCCGCCGCCGCCCCACUCCUCUCUCCGACCACCAAUUCUCUGCACAAAAUUACCAGAACAGCCUUCAUAUCUGCCACCCCAAAAUGCAGUAGGCCAAUAACCAAGCUCCACGUGUCCUCCAAGCCAGUUGCAGCCACAGCAUCGUCGUCGAAACCCAAUCAAGAAACCAUCUUUUUCGACGGCGGAGCUCACUACGGAGACCUCUUAGCUAACCUUCUUCUGGGUUUCACUCUUGUUUGGAUGCCGUUAACUCUAGCUGCAGUAUUUAGGGCUUUCUACUUGAGGUACAGGUUUACAAAUUUGAGGGUCACUGUUAUUUCAGGGCUAACUGGUCAAGAGAGGAGUGACUUUUCAUAUAAAGUGGUCAAAGAUGUUCAGGUUGUGCCAAGGUUCAUUGGGGAAUGGGGUGAUGUCAUUAUCACUUUGAAGGAUGGGACUAAGGUGGAUUUGAGAAGUGUUCCUAAAUUUAGAGAGAUUGCUAAGUAUUGUCUUUCUAUGACUGAUAAUCAAGAGCCUGGUGUUUUGAAGGAGACUGAUGGGCCUAAAGGAUUUUGAGAAAUGGUUAAUUUGUUGAUUUCAUACUUUUGUUCUCUUUCUGAAGAGCCUCAUCGCUUCGUGGUAUGAAUGACAGAGAUCAAUGAAGAGCAGUAUAGAAAGAUCAAAUGGUCCGAGCAGCAGAGAAAGAUCAGAUGGUCCUUUUAAUAUCCCUCGCCAAUGUCGUUCUGUGAUACCUUGCAAGUCUACUCACCAGCGAAUUGUACAUUUGGAUAGCUGAGCUUUUGCAAUAUACUGGAAUAAUGCUAAAGAAGUACUUGGCCUAAAAGGAUUAGUCCACCUGGAAAAGCAGGAUUUUUUUUCUAAAGUUAUGAUUAAUAAAGUAUAGCUAAAUAUAUGUGCAAUUCAUAGUAAUUAAGACAUCACCUUCUAUUGUGUUGUACUUUAUUUUAGUGAAACGCUUGUGUAAAAAUAUUACUAAUAGAACUUGCCUCUUC